GGCCAGACAGUCGCGUCACUCGCAAGAGUGCCGAGGAAAGUCCGGGCUCCAUAGGGCAAGGUGCCAGGUAACGCCUGGGCGGCGCAAGCCGACGGACAGUGCAACAGAAAGAUACCGCCUACGUUCCUUUCGGGGAGCCGGUAAGGGUGAAAUGGUGCGGUAAGAGCGCACCGCGAGUCCGGUAACGGACCGGCACGGCAAACCCCACCUGGAGCAAGACCAAAUAGGGAUCCAUUGGCGUGGCC
rnacentral:RNase_P_RNA from 1 species